rnacentral:SRP_RNA from 1 species
GCUGGGCACACUGGAGCGCGUCUGUAGUCCCAGCUAUUCCGGAGGCUGAGGCAAGAGGAUGGCUUGAGCCCAGGAGUUUUGGGCUGUAGUGCGUUAUGCUAAUUAGGUGUCCACAUUAAGUUUGGCAUCAAUAUGGUGACCUCCCAGAGUGGGGACCACCAGGUUGCCUAAAGAGGGGUGAACUGGCCCUUUUCGGAAAGGGAGCAGGUCAAAACUUCCGUGCUGAUGAGUAGUGGGAUCGCCCUGUGAAUAGCCACUGCACUCCAGCCUGGGCAACAUAGCGAGACCCCGUCUCUU